GUUUGAUCCUGGCUCGGAUGAACGCUAGCGGCAAGCUUAAUACAUACAAGUCGAGGGGCAGCAUGAAGUAGCAAUACUUUGAUGGCGACCGGCAAACGGGUGCGGAACACGUACACAACCUUCCUUUUAGUGGGGAAUAGCCCAGAGAAAUUUGGAUUAAUACCCCGUAACACAACGAUGUGGCAUCACAUUGUUAUUAUAGCUUCGGCGCUAGAUGAUGGGUGUGCGUAUGAUUAGAUAGUUGGCGAGGUAACGGCUCACCAAGUCUACGAUCAUUAGCUGAUGUGAGAGCAUGAUCAGCCACACGGGCACUGAGACACGGGCCCGACUCCUACGGGAGGCAGCAGUAAGGAAUAUUGGUCAAUGGACGCAAGUCUGAACCAGCUAUGCCGCGUGAAGGAUUAAGGUCCUCUGGAUUGUAAACUUCUUUUAUCUGGGACGAAAAAAGGUCUUUCUAGAUCACUUGACGGUACCAGAUGAAUAAGCACCGGCUAACUCCGUGCCAGCAGCCGCGGUAAUACGGAGGGUGCAAGCGUUAUCCGGAUUCACUGGGUUUAAAGGGUGCGUAGGCGGGCAGGUAAGUCAGUGGUGAAAUCCUGGAGCUCAACUCCAGAACUGCCAUUGAUACUAUCUGUCUUGAAUAUUGUGGAGGUAAGCGGAAUAUGUCAUGUAGCGGUGAAAUGCUUAGAUAUGACAUAGAACACCCAUUGCGAAGGCAGCUUACUACGCAUAUAUUGACGCUGAGGCACGAAAGCGUGGGGAUCAAACAGGAUUAGAUACCCUGGUAGUCCACGCCCUAAACGAUGGAUACUCGACAUACGCGAUACAUUGUGUGUGUCUGAGCGAAAGCAUAAGUAUCCCACCUGGGGAGUACGUU
rnacentral:rRNA from 1 species